GACGAACGCUGGCGGCGUGCUUAACACAUGCAAGUCGAACGGUGAACCAGAGCUUGCUCUGGGGAUCAGUGGCGAACGGGUGAGUAACACGUGGGCAACCUGCCCAGACUCUGGGAUAACCUCGGGAAACCGAUGCUAAUACCGGAUACGACCACUUCGGACAUCCGACGGUGGUGGAAAGUUUUUCGGUCUGGGAUGGGCCCGCGGCCUAUCAGCUAGUUGGUGGGGUAAUGGCCUACCAAGGCGACGACGGGUAGUCGGCCUGAGAGGGCGACCGGCCACACUGGAACUGAGACACGGUCCAGACUCCUACGGGAGGCAGCAGUGGGGAAUAUUGCACAAUGGGCGAAAGCCUGAUGCAGCGACGCCGCGUGAGGGACGACGGCCUUCGGGUUGUAAACCGUCUUUCAGCAGGGACGAAGCGAAAGUGACUGUACCUGCAGAAGAAGCACCGGCUAACUACGUAGCCAGCAGCCGCGGUAA
rnacentral:rRNA from 1 species